rnacentral:tRNA from 1 species
GCGGCUAUCGUCUAAUGGAUAAGACAGGCCCCUCCUAAGGGUCAAAUGCAGGUUCGAUUCCUGCUAGCCGCG